rnacentral:siRNA from 1 species
GGAUUUUGUAGAUUCAGUUGCUGC